rnacentral:rRNA from 1 species
CGUUCCCGGGCCUUGUACACACCGCCCGUCACACCACGAAAGUUGGUAACACCCGAAGCCGGUGGCCUAACCGCAAGGAGGGAGCCGUCGAAGGUGGGAUACAGCGAUUGGGGUG